GUUGGUCAGGCUGGUCUCGAACUCCUGACCUUGUAAUCCACCUGCCUUGGCUCCCAAGUGCUGGGAUUACAAGCGUGAGCCGCAGUGCUCGGCCCUUAUACACUCUGAUUAAGAGACAAUUCACUACACUGAUUUUUUUCAGAUUCAUGCCCAUUUGUCUUCUUAAAGUGAAGUUACUACCAAUGCUCCAGGAUUAUCUAACCUAGUAUAGAACAGAAUAUUAAUGUGUGUGUGUGUGCGCAUGUGUGCACGCGUGUGCUCAUGCAUGCUUUUAAUUAUAUAUUGAAGAUAUGCUAAAAUAUUUAUAAUGCCUAUCAAAGACACAAAGAAUAAUAAUAAAAUAAGCAGCUUUCCCUAUCUUAGAAGCCCUCUGCUACCCUUUUCUUAUCCCUUCAUUUUCUUUCCCACCAAUGUAACGGCUGAUAUGAAUUUUUCAUUCACUUUUCUCAUUCUUCUUUUACAGUCAUACUACAUACCAAGCACCUCUAAAGAUAUAGUUUAAUUUUACACAUUUUGGACUUCUUUAAAAAAAGAAUCAUACUGAAAAAAUGAACUCAUUGCAUGUAUUCUUAUGAAACUUCAUUUUUCAUUCAAUAAUCCUACUUGAAAUGUAUUUAUGGUGAUGCAGCUCUAUAUUUGUCUCUUUUGCCAGGUUUAAUUUUUCCCUUUUCUCCUUUGAACUAGCUUGAAAUUAUAUACUUUACUCUUUUUUCUAAUCUCUUGGUUACUCCAGAAAUUUUGACAUGUAUACUUUAAUUAAAAUUUUUAUGAUUCUCUUAAAUGAUAAAAUAUGUUCAGCAUUUUAGCUUCAGCCAUUGUUGUCUAGUAUUUAAUUAUAUCUUCCUAAACCACACAAAUUAGACAUUUUUACUACAGUCAAUGCUUACUGAAAUUCACUCACAUAUUUAUCAGUAUUUUUUUUUUACCUCUCCUUCAUGCAUCUCUGACUUUGCAUUUGGGAUUAUUUUCCUUUUGACUGGGGUUGGUUCUAUAGGAAUUCUUCUAGGGAAGAUUGUUAAAGGUUUUCCAUUUGUUUUAAUGAAAAAUGGCCUUUUGAAAUCUUUUGUAUUAAGAUGGAUUCACUGGGUUUUCAGUUCCAGGUUGACACUUGUUUUUCUUGGCACAUUGGCAACAGUUUCUCCUAUGGUCUAACAUUCACUGUUGCUGUUGGGAAGUCAUGGUAAUUGUUAUUCCUCUGGUUGCUUUUAAUAUUUUCAUGUUGUAUUGGGUGUUCUGAAAUUUCACUAAGUCUCCAGGUGUAGAUUUCUUUCUAAGUAUCCUCCUCAGUAUUUCCUGUGCUUCGUAAAUCUGAGGUUUGAGGUAAUCAGUUCUCAAGAACUUACAGCUGAUUUCUACGUUGCCUCCCUCCCAUUCAUUCUGUUUUCCUUUUCUCAGUAGACUUUCCCACUCUGGCAUGCCUCCCAACAACUUUCUCAUGAUUUCAACCUAGUUGUCUCAUUGUGCUGCCUUUUAAAUCACUUUUUCAUAACUACCUUCUAGGUCAAUAGUUUUUCCUUCAGCUAGUCUAAUCUGCACUGCAGCUAUGUUCCUUACAGAUGUUUUAUCAUUAGAUUAGACUAGCUGGCAUAGGGCAGCAGGCAUAGGCCGAGGUAAACAACCUGGAUGACUUAGCAGGUUUGUGGUGCAAGUGCACAGCCCCAUGUCUUAUAUAAUCAUAGCCAUGUAGACAUAACGUAGAAAAGCUCACCAUCUAGCUUUCAGCCACUAUUGUUUGUGUAAUGUAUAAAAGUAACACUGACCCUGUGUGAGAGCUGCUGAAUAAAGCCAUGUUUCAUCUACCUGCUGUUUCUCAAGCAUUCUUCUAGCUCCCUGCUUCAUGUCCACCCACUCUCCUCAGCCCUCAACUGGGCUUGGAACCUGAUCCUAAGCAUGAAAACAUCCACUGGUUUUUAAUUUUAAUUGUCAUCUUUUUAAUUCCUAGAUUUUUUUCUGCUUUAUUUUGAAAUAGGUUUGGUCAUUUUUAAUAGUUACUUCUUCCUUAAUCAUAUUAUCAUCCUUUUAUUUAUUUCCUGAAAUGUGUUAGACAUUCUUAGAUAAUUCCUAUAUCUAAAAGAAUUAUGAGUUGAAGUUGUUGUUUGCUAUUUGUGCUCUUCUUAUUCAUGUUGACUUGUUAUUUUAUAUAUUAUGCAUUUUUAUGGAACUUUCUUUUAAGUAUUGUCUGAGAGCUGGGUUCAUAUCAAGGAUGAUUUUUGUUUGCUUCAAGUAGCUCUCCACAGGUGUAGAGGUGGGAAA